rnacentral:rRNA from 1 species
UACGUAGGGGGCAAGUGUUGUCCGGAUUUACUGGGCGUAAAGAGCGUGUAGGCGGCCAAACAGGUCCGUUGUGAAAACUGGAGGCUCAACUUCCAGACGUCGACGGAAACCGUGUGGCUAGAGUCCGGAAGAGGAGAGUGGAGUUCCUGGUGUAGCGGUGAAAUGCGUAGAUAUCGUGAGGAAGACCAGUGGCGAAGGCGGGUCUCUGGACAGUUCCUGACGCUGAGGCGCGAAGGCCAGGGGAGCAAACGGG